AUGUGUAUUUUCUUGCUCAUGAGCAAUAGUAUUAUUGCUGCAGUAUUAUCUACAAAUGAUGUGAUACAUCCAGACAAGCUAUGCCUACAGGUUUGGGUUGCGGAUGCACUGCGCCCCAUGCCACGUAGCUCCUGGCGGCAGCACCACGGGCUCCAGCAUGGCAGGCCCGAUGCACACGUAGGCGAACUUGCCGUACCACUCGUACUUGGAUCCCGGGCUGAAGACGUACAGCUCCUCGAACCCUCUCCUGCUCAGGCAAACCGAGUUCCUCCGGCCCUGCACCAAAACAUCAAUGAAUUCACAAGAAUUAAUCAGUUUUUCAGUUCAGUUUUGAUCUUUCAUUCCUUCUUCAGUUUUGCAUUUGUCAUGUACCCUGUCGAUGACGGUGAACUCCCUGGGCGCGUGCCGGUACACCCGGCACAGCUCCGCCGUCAGGUGCUUGUAGUUGUCGUCCUCCUCGCCGUCCGGCUCCGGUGCCCCCCUCGGCGAGCUCUGCCCGCCCCCGCCGCCGGAGAGGAGCAUGUCCAGCCCCUUGCUGACCCAGCGCGGCUGCGGGGAUGA
rnacentral:rRNA from 1 species